rnacentral:rRNA from 1 species
ACGGAAGGCAGCAGUGGGGAAUAUUGCACAAUGGGGGAAACCCUGAUGCAGCGACGCCGCGUGAGUGAAGAAGUAUUUCGGUAUGUAAAGCUCUAUUAGCAAGGAAGAAAAUGACGGUACUUGACUAAGAAGCCCCGGCUAACUACGUGCCAGCAGCCGCGGUAAUACGUAGGGGGCGAGCGUUAUCCGGAUUUACUGGGUGUAAAGGGAGCGUAGACGGCAUAGCAAGUCUGAAGUGAAAUGCGGGGGCUCAACCCCUGAACUGCUUUGGAAACUGUUAAGCUAGAGUGCAGGAGAGGUAAGUGGAAUUCCUAGUGUAGCGGUGAAAUGCGUAGAUAUUAGGAGGAACACCAGUGGCGAAGGCGGCUUACUGGACUGUAACUGACGUUGAGGCUCGAAAGCGUGGGGAGCGAACAGGAUUAGAUACCCUGGUA